AUGCAGAGGGUGCGAGCGUCAAUCGGAAUUACUGGGCGUAAAGCGCGCGUAGGCGGUCUAUUAAGUCAGAUGUGAAAUCCCAGGGCUCAACCUUGGAACUGCAUCUGAUACUGGUAGACUAGAGUUUUGGAGAGGGAAGUAGAAUUUCAGGUGUAGCGGUGAAAUGCAUAGAGAUCUGAAGGAAUACCAGUGGCGAAGGCGACUUCCUGGCCAAAAACUGACGCUGAGGUGCGAAAGCGUGGGUAGCAAACGGGAUUAGAAACCCUAGUAGUCC
rnacentral:rRNA from 1 species